rnacentral:rRNA from 1 species
AUUGAACGCUGGCGGCAGGCUUAACACAUGCAAGUCGAGCGAGCGGCGGACGGGUGAGUAAUGUCUGGGAAACUGCCUGAUGGAGGGGGAUAACUACUGGAAACGGUAGCUAAUACCGCAUACCAUCAGAUGUGCCCAGAUGGGAUUAGCUAGUAGGUGGGGUAAUGGCUCCCCUGGGCGACGAUCCCUAGCUGGUCUGAGAAGAUGACCAUCCACAAGAGAACGUGGACACGGUCCAGCCUCCUACGGUAGGCAGCUGUGGGGAAUAUUGAACAAUGGGCGCAAGCCUGAUGCAGCCAGGCCGCGUGUGUGAAGAAGGCCUUCGGGUUGUAAAGCACUUUCAGCGAGGAGGCGGUACUCGCAGAAGAAGCACCGGCUAACUCCGUGCCAGCAGCCGCGGUAAUUC